rnacentral:rRNA from 1 species
UGGGGAAUAUUGCGCAAUGGGCGGAAGCCUGACGCAGCGACGCCGCGUGGGGGAUGACGGCCUUCGGGUUGUAAACCCCUUUCAGCAUCGACGAAGCUUCAUCCUUGCAGGGUGGGGUGACGGUAGGUGCAGAAGAAGCGCCGGCUAACUACGUGCCAGCAGCCGCGGUAAUACGUAGGGCGCGAGCGUUGUCCGGAAUUAUUGGGCGUAAAGAGCUCGUAGGCGGUCUGUCGCGUCUGUCGUGAAAGCCCACGGCUUAACUGUGGGUCUGCGGUGGAUACGGGCAGGCUAGAGGCAGGUAGGGGAGCAUGGAAUUCCCGGUGUAGCGGUGAAAUGCGCAGAUAUCGGGAGGAACACCGGUGGCGAAGGCGGUGCUCUGGGCCUGUUCUGACGCUGAGGAGCGAAAGCGUGGGGAGCGAACA